rnacentral:rRNA from 1 species
UACGUAGGGGGCAAGCGUUGUCCGGAAUCAUUGGGCGUAAAGAGCGUGUAGGCGGCCAGAAAAGUCCGCUGUGAAAACUCGAGGCUCAACUUCGAGCUGUCGGUGGAAACUUUCUGGCUAGAGUCCGGAAGAGGAGAAUGGAAUUCCUGGUGUAGCGGUGAAAUGCGCAGAUAUCAGGAAGAACACCUAUGGCGAAGGCAGCUCUCUGGGACGGUACUGACGCUGAGACGCGAAAGCGUGGGGAGCGAACAGG